UCUGACGGGAAGAUAGGAAGCUGCAUCUCAAACGUUUGCCUCAUUCUCAAAGCCGCGUCCUUGCAAAGCACUGCACUGGGGCGUUUGUUGGGUGUGUGCCCAGACUAAUUAAGCUGUACUUCACAGGCCAUUUGGCCAUUGUUUGUGGCUUAUGCUUCAGUGCUCAGAAUCCCAACGGGGUGGAAAGGGGAGAGUGCCAUCCUGAACCCCUAAGAACAACUUCACUGGAAAAGACCUGCUUCGGGAAACCGCAGGAAACCCGCGUCAAACCGUGUUGACAAAACCUGAUCAUGAUAUAGUGACGCACAGGCUCUUUACUUGAUGUUCCAAGAUCCCGGACCCCAUGGGCGCAUGGUCAGGGGUCCAAUAUUCAUUAAAAUUAAAACGCUUCUGGAAGACAAAGGCACAAAUGCUAUCCAUUUAGCAUGUUAAUUACCCAGCCAAGAAGAUAAAGGGCUCACAAGUGGCCAUGUCAUUAACACUUAGGAUUCACUCGCCAACAGAUUUCUGCUCCCCUCCCUCCGUGCCGACCUGAGAUAUCAGACUCUCCCUUCAGAGGCUCAGCCCGGAGGACAACGGGUAUGAGUGUGGACCCGAGGUCUCUCUUUCGGCAGCACCCUCCUUAAUUGCAAAGGCUAACGAAGUGGAACCGGGUCAAUGACGCUGUCUGCCUAAUCCAUCGUGUCUGUCUAAACUGGGACUUGCUGGUUUACAGUAGAGUAAAUUCCUGUCUGUCAGAGGCGAGGCUGCUGAAGACCAAAGGGGGAUUUGCGACGUGCUUGGAGGCCCCAGUGUGGAUGGAGUGCUUCCAGAAUCUUAAUGCGGGUACCAGGAACCAUAGAGCUGCCAGAAAGCAAGGAAAACCCUUUCACAGCAGGCUUAUGAAGGCUAAGUAGGACAUGCCCCUCCACACCCAACGCUACUCAACCACAAUUCUUCUGAACUGUGAGUUAUUAUAGACACCAGCUAAACCGAUUCCACUCGACGGCAGCGAGAUGGGUAAAUUUAGCUACCACGCUCUGAAUGCUUACUUUGUGCCAAGCACACGGAAUGCUUGCAGUCCUGCCAAGGGAGGUAUCAGGCUCCCCACUCUACAGAUCAGAUAACCGAUGCUCGGCGAGGAUAAUUUGCUCAAAAACACAGGCCUGACACAGGAUGGGGCCGGGACUGGUGCUCGGGUGGGCAGGUGGCCAGAAACGGGUCCCGUAACCAAUAUCCUGGUGAUUCUAAAGCAUGAACGUACGGGCUCAGGAUCCCUGGGCAAGUCUCCAAAGAAUCUGCAUUUUUAUUAAACGCCCUUGGGGGAGUUUUAUGUGCACUGAAGCCUGAGAACCCCUGCGCCGUAUCAUGGCUAAUGCAAGACUGAAAGCAUCUAAGGGGACAAAGACAGCCAGUGAGAAACCAGCAGUGGGACCCCGACCUCUGAAACCCAGCCAGCACCACGUGUCUGAUGCAUGCAGAGCCCGUGCUCUGCACCCCUGAAAGAGCUUCAAGUCGGACCCCAGAACGGAGCAGCGAGAACCUCCUGGAGCUGAUUCAUCACCCACGGCUUUGGACAAGAGGAGAAACCGCAGACACGCGGAAACUCUGAAAUUCCCCCCCGCUUGGUGUGUGUCUCUCUGAGCAUAACCGGUUACCAACCGUUGUAUCUAACACUUCAUCUGCGUGUGCCUCAGAGGCUUUGUCAUUCUUUACAGAGUACACAGAAUUAUGAUUCUCAGAAGGACAA